rnacentral:rRNA from 1 species
UACGUAGGGUCCGAGCGUUGUCCGGAUUUAUUGGGCGUAAAGAGCUCGUAGGCGGCUUCGUAAGUCGGGUGUGAAAACCCCAGGCUCAACCUGGGGACGCCACUCGAUACUGCGGUGGCUUGAGUCUGGUAGGGGAUCUCGGAAUUCCUGGUGUAGCGGUGAAAUGCGCAGAUAUCAGGAGGAACACCAGUGGCGAAGGCGGAGAUCUGGGCCAGUACUGACGCUGAGGAGCGAAAGCGUGGGGAGCGAACAGG